UAUGUCUUCAGUAGUUUGAUUUCGUAAUAUCCAGGUUAAUUCGUUAAUGUUCAUUUGUUUCAAAUAUUUCUUCAUGUCCAAUUUCCAUAGUUUUCCAAAAAGGAUCAUGGAUUUCAUUUCCAAGUCCAUUAAUUUAGCAAGCAGUUGUCAGUCAAAGUAGACGUUAAAAACGUCAGUCAGUUCAAAAUCCGUUCAGUCAAUUCAAAACACAACAAAGUGCAUCAAAGCAAGUCAAGUCAAAACACGUGUUUAACUGGCAGAAAGAAAGCUAUUUACAAUAUUUACAAACACAACAAAGAUUGUAGGAACAGUGUUUAAAUAGAAGGAGAUCCUGUAUGGAGCACGGGACUGAACCAGGGUUAUAAACUUCAAUCAGCUCGUCCAUAAGCACAAGGCGCUGAAUGCCAAAGCACGAGCAGU